rnacentral:rRNA from 1 species
UACGUAGGGACCAAGCGUUGUUCGGAUUUACUGGGCGUAAAGGGCGCGUAGGCGGCAAUUCAAGUCAGCUGUGAAAUCUCCGGGCUUAACUCGGAACGGUCAGCUGAUACUGCUUUGCUAGAGUGCAGAAGGGGCAAUCGGAAUUCUUGGUGUAGCGGUGAAAUGCGUAGAUAUCAGGAGGAACACCGGUGGCGAAGGCGGGUCUCUGGGCCGAUAUUGACGCUGAGGAGCGAAAGCGUGGGGAGCGAACAGG